AACAUCUACAAACAAUUCUUAGUAGUCCUGGUCCUAGUAAAUAUUGUUAAAAAUUUUACCUGCCCUAACUUACUAGAUUGAAUAACAAAAUAUACUAGCAGUUAGCAUUAACAUUGAAAUAAAAAAUAUUUUGCAGUUUUAUUAAAACAGCCAUAUUGAAAUAAAAUGAUACAAAUCAAUGGCAAUUUUAUUAAAACUUAUUACAACUUUAUUAAAACAACAAUUUACAACCGUAUUGAAACAACAGUUUGUAAACAUAUUGAAAAAACAUUGACCGUAUUAAAAUAGCAAUUUGUAACUAUAUUAAUAUAAUAUAGGUUAAGGGUAAUAAUUAGUUGCUGUCCUUUUCAAAUAAAACAGAUUUGUUUUAAGUUUUUAUCAUAUUUAGUAGAGUAUAUUUAUAACAGUUUAUCAUCUAUAAUGGUAUAUUUGAAUAAAGUUUUUAAAAGCACGCCACUAAGUUAAUAUUUCUGAGUAGAAAAAUGUAAGUAGUAGACAUCAAUGAUAAUUGUGGAUUAAUUAAAUUUAGCUCUACAUCUGAAAAAAUACUAAUUAGCGACACAUAAAAGGCACUUAUUUAAAAAUAAUUUAAUAUUUAAAAGACACCAUCAGAGGCAAUUCUGUAUAUAAAAUAAAGGGGUAUGGGUAGGGGAAUCCUUGAAAAGCACCGACUGCUUAAUAAAAAAAAAAAAUUCCUCAAAACUAUAAACCACCUAACUCAAAUGUAUCAAAUACCCAAUUAGCCGACUAUAUUCCCUAAAAAAUCAACUAUAAUUUGCCUUCUUUAAGGGGGACGGUGGAUAUGGCACCCCAAACCCUCCCUCUCCCUGCAUCCCCCGUGUAAGCGUCUCUGAACGCCAGUUGGUUACGUAAUUUUUUUUUUACAUUUAAAUAUCCGUAUUACAUCUUUGUUUAAGCUGAAGUAACGAUUCUUAAGCCAUUUUAUGGUGCUCGUAUAAUUAUUUUUUUCGUGUUGUAAAACAGAUGUUGCGCGUCUUGUUGCAGCAGUUUUUUGUUUUAAAGCAACUUCCAUUAAGCUGAGAUAGUGAACUUGAUAUUGUUGGGAAAAACACGGGACAAUAGCUUCUUUAGCUCGCAUAGUAAUAUCUGCAGAGAAAAAAAAGAAAGAGAAGUAACGUGAGAAAAAUUUGCGUUUUUGUACAUUAUUCAACUUGAACAAUCAUAAUUUGAAGAGUCUCAACAGAAUCCAGAUAUGAGUACUAUAAUAAAAGAUACAAGGAAAAAUAUUAUAUUCAGACAAAUAUUCGAGGGAGUGAAUAGAAUAAGGUUUAAAAAAAUGACAAGCAUAAUAAAAAGAGAUAACCUUAGAAGUUGCCAAUUUUAAAAUAGAUUUAACAUAUGGUUUUUUAUAUAUGGUCAAGACAAUGAUAAUCCAAGAAAACUUGCAGUAAAACUGUACAUUACAUUUAGAAGUAUCAAGAUUAUUACAUUAUAGGUUGCAGAAUUGAAGUAUCAAGAUUAUUACAUUAUAGGUUGCAGUAUUGAAGUAUCAAGAUUAUUACAUUAUAGGUUGCAUGAAAAUAACUGAGCUUUAUUUAAAUUAAAGUUCAUCAACCACUGUUAGUUUCUGGCUUACAAAGAAAAAAUUGCGUUUAAGAUGGAUGCUUGUUUUAAAUAAUUAUAAAGUAAAGACAGAAAAUUAUUUUGUAUAAAAAAUCAUAAGAUAGAAUAAUAUAUGAAAACAAUAUAGGUCAGGAUCUUAAAAAUCGAUUUUCAUCUUUCCAAUAGUUAUUAAGGUCCCAAGAGAAAUAGAAUAUAGACUUUUUUUUAACGCUAUUUAAAAAUACAAGUAAGUAGUUAGGAUUAAUAAGCUAUAGUAAUAAAUUUAAAAAAAGGGAACUGUCGGGGUGAGAGGCAGUGCCGCCGAGAGGAAGGAAGGGGGGGGAAGGGUUACGAGGGACAGUUUGUCCUGGGCGGCAGAUAUCCAAGGAACGCCAAAUGAAAAGAAGGUACCUAAAAAAAAAGAUCUUUCAUAUAUAAUAUAAGGAAAUUUUGAUAAAUAAAGUCGCCAAUGAGGUUUGCUUUCCCAGACGACGUGACGGCUUUCGACGGUCCAGGUUAGAGGUUGCAAAAAAAAUGUAGUUUGAGUAUUAAUUGCUGCAGCGUCAGUAAUAUUUGACCCAACCUGUUUAGUAUGACGAGGGUUUUUUACAUUAAAUCGAAGAUUCACUAACUAGAAAAUAUUUGAAAAUACAAAGAAAGAUAAUCAAUAAA